rnacentral:lncRNA from 1 species
AUGCUGCCAUUUCGAUUAAACCUGUUCAGGAUGGCUGGAACAGCUUGGUAUGGGCAGAGAUCUUCAAAAGCACAUCCUCAGCUAGCAAUUGUGAGCAGAGGUCUGCAAGCUUUAAGGAGACAUUUUUCACAAAGCACACUGAAAGAGAUUGCACACCAAAGUAUGGAGCAUCUUCUAGAUCUAGCCCUCAGGAUCACGGCCAAAAUUUUCACAUGAACAUUAAAUGAUAGAAGAAAAUGAGUCUUAAUUUCAUCAGAAGCUGAGACUGCUGGCCUUGUCUGGCAGUGCCUGAAGCAUCCUCAGGUAAGAACUACAGUCAAAACAGUGUGUGAAAGCAGGGAAAAGCCAUCCAUUUUUUAUCGGAGAAGAGUAAAUAAGAGAGAGAUAUCAGACACAGGUUACCAGCAGAGAGUUGGAAACUGAACUAGGAAUUAGUAUAUUCAGUUUCUAAAGCUGUCAAUGCAUGGAGAGGAGGAAGAUGGGGUAAGAAGAACAUGUUUUGUUCUUAUAGAGUAAAAUCCACUUAGCAGCUCUUUUGAGACAGUGAACUUGUCUUUGACAUUUACUAUUUGUGUCAGUGGCUGAGCUGUUGCUCUAUUUGCACUCAUUCUCUGCAAAACACUGCAUUCUUUAGGCAAUUUGAAAAUCUUAAAUCCAUCUUUUCAAAAGAAAGUUUCUAACUAAUGGACAUCUUAUGGAUGAGCAAAACUGCUUCUUGGAGGCUGGAUAGGUAGAAAAGGGUUAUUUGAUUAUACAUAGGCAAAAUGGUCUUUUGCUCCUUCUCCUGCCCUUAUGUUUAGCAGAGGAGGACUUGGGCCACUAAAAACAUCUGAGCCCCCAAAAAUUUAAUUUCAAAUGCAUUGACCUCUACACAGAGGGAGUUUCAGAGACUGAGAAUGCCUACCUAUUGUCUGUUUCUUUUCCAACCUACAUACGUACACACUUUAAAGUCUCCCUUUGCUCUCAAUGGUUACUUGUAAACUGUCUUAGACUUCAUAUUAAGCUUAGGUUUUAGCUGUCUUUUUACUUCCACUCUGGAGGAAAAGCCAGACUCAAACACCAUUGGUAAACAGCUAAAAAGAUAUCAUUAAACUCUGAAUGUCCUCUGUUCUGAAGGCGAAGAUCUGGAAGAGAUUUUCCAAAUUCAGCUUCGGAUCGGAAGAUGGGGAAGGAGGCCCUGGACAAAAGAAGGGGUAGAAGAUUUCCGAGGAAAAUAUCCUUCGUUUGUCACUGUAUCACCUCCCUGCACUGUAUUUUGUUUGAUAUUAGUAAACAUUAUGUAAGUAAACCUCCCUAAAGAUCACAUGGUAGAGAAACAAUUACAGUGCUGUCCCAUAGGAAACUAAUAAAAAACAAAACAAAAACA